rnacentral:rRNA from 1 species
UUGAACGCUGGCGGCAUGCUUUACACAUGCAAGUCGAACGGUAACAGGUUAAGCUGACGAGUGGCGAACGGGUGAGUAAUGCAUCGGAACGUGCCCGAUCGUGGGGGAUAACGCAGCGAAAGCUGCGCUAAUACCGCAUGAUACCUGAGGGUGAAAGCGGGGGACUCGCAAGAGCCUCGCGCUACUGGAGCGGCCGAUAUCAGAUUAGGUAGUUGGUGGGGUAAAAGCCUACCAAGCCUGCGAUCUGUAGCUGGUCUGAGAGGACGACCAGCCACACUGGGACUGAGACACGGCCCAGACUCCUACGGGAGGCAGCAGUGGGGAAUUUUGGACAAUGGGCGAAAGCCUGAUCCAGCCAUGCCGCGUGCGGGAAGAAGGCCUUCGGGUUGUAAACCGCUUUUGUCAGGGAAGAAAUCCUUUGAGCUAAUACCUCAGAGGGAUGACGGUACCUGAAGAAUAAGCACCGGCUAACUACGU